UCUAAGCAGAGAGAAUCAGCCAUUAAUGCACUCCAGAUAUUCGACAAAAGGUUUACUCCAGCUCCUCGUUAUUGUACGAACUCAGAAUAACUGAAACUCUGUAUUUUGAUUGAUUAACACUUCCGUCGCUAUAGCCGUAUGUUUAAUUCUUCAGCUUCGCCCUAAAACCUUGUUAACUCCGAGAUGGAAGGUACCAUGGAACUGGAUUCCGACUACCCCUGGAGCUGCAAUGUCGAGCUGAUGAACUACGAGGAACAUGAAGAAUGGCCAAUCAGCUCUAGUAACUUACC